UACGUAGGGGCCUAGCGUUGUCCGGAUUUAUUGGGCGUAAAGAGCUCGUAGGCGGUUCGGCAAGUCAGGUGUGAAAUCUCCGCGCUCAACGCGGAGGAGCCACCUGAUACUGCCGUGACUUGAGUCCGGUAGGGGAGUGCGGAAUUCCCGGUGUAGCGGUGAAAUGCGCAGAUAUCAGGAGGAACACCAAUUGCGAAGGCAGCUCGCUGGAACGUAACUGACGCUGAGACGCGAAAGCGUGGGGAGCAAACAGG
rnacentral:rRNA from 1 species